rnacentral:rRNA from 1 species
AAAACAUGUCUUUUUGAAAAUAAUUUAAAGUCUAAUCUGCCCACUGAUUGAAAUUGAAGGGCUGCAGUAUAUUGACUGUACAAAGGUAGCAUAAUCAUUAGUCAUUUAAUUGAUGACUUGUAUGAAAGAUUGGAUGAGAUAUAUACUGUCUCUUAUUUAAUUGUAAAAUUUAAUUUUUUUAUUAAAAAGUUAAAAUAAUUUAAAAAGACGAGAAGACCCUAUAGAGUUUAAUAAAUAANUAANUUNAUUUUAUUUUGNANAAUAAUANUNAAANUUANUNNUUUAUUUUAUUGGGGUGAUAGAAAAAUAAAUAAAACUUUUUUUAAAAUAAAACAUUUAUAAGUGAUUAAAUGAUCCAAUAAUAUUGAUUAUAAGAAAAAAUUACCUUAGGGAUAACAGCGUAAUUUUUUUUUUUAGUUCAAAUAAGAAAAAGAGUUUGCGACCUCGAUGUUGGAUUAAGAUAAAAUUUGAAUGCAGAAGUUUAAAAUUUUGAUCUGUUCGAUCAUUAAAAUCUUACAUGAUCU